GCAGGGGCAGGUUGUCCCCUUCAAAACCAAAGGACUGAAGUGACUGUUUCUUUUCUCCCUUUCUCUCUAACAGGUGGCAAGGGUCAUCCUCAUGAUGGGCCUGACCAUGGCCAUGGUCCAGGGCACUGUCCUGGGGGAAAACACCCUCCAGGACCUGGCGGCCCAGCCCCUGGCCAUGGUCCAGCCCCUCCAGGACCUGGUGGCCCACCCCCUGCCCAUGGCCCAGGACACUGUCCUGGGGGAAAUCACCCUCCAGGACAUGGCCCAGCCCCUGGUCAUCCUGGUCCACACCACUGAGAAAUCAGAAGAAAUGAAGACACAAGAUGAGGAGUCUGCAUGGAAUCCCCAGCUGACCUGGCACCGGAUCUAAAGUAGAAUUUUCUCUUGCAAUAAAUAGCCUCCUGGAGGCCAUAUUUGUUCUU